rnacentral:rRNA from 1 species
UACGUAGGGUGCGAGCGUUAAUCGGAAUUACUGGGCGUAAAGCGUGCGCAGGCGGUUCGUUGUGUCGGCGGUGAAAUCCCCAGGCUCAACCUGGGAACUGCAUCCGAUACUGGAUGGCUUGAAUCCGGGAGAGGGAUGCAGAAUUCCAGGUGUAGCGGUGAAAUGCGUAGAUAUCUGGAGGAAUACCGGUGGCGAAGGCGGCAUCCUGGACCGGCAUUGACGCUGAGGAGCGAAAGCCAGGGGAGCAAACGGG